rfam:Wenzhouxiangella marina strain KCTC 42284, complete genome.
GGGGGCGUACUGGCUUCGACGUGGAUCGGACGUACCCUGGGGCAUGCCGAGGAGACAGCAAUCCUCGUAAAACCUGCUGUAAAAAAGUUAGUUGCCAACGACGACAACUACGCACUGGCUGCCUAAAAACCAGCCUGCUCCCCAUCAGUCGAGCCUGCGCUUCUGAACCGGGGAUCAUCUAGCAGGAUCGCAGCAUGUCGUGCAUCAGGGCACCGCUGUUAAAUCAAACUGAGGCUGGUUGCUGCAUGUGCCCUGCCGCUCGGGCGGUGCAGUAACGAGAAAAAAUCGAGUGGCUAAGCAUGUAGAACCAGGAUCUGAUGGUUUGCGGACGCGGGUUCGACUCCCGCCGCCUCCACCA